rnacentral:rRNA from 1 species
CAAAGGUAGCAUAAUCAUUAGUUUCUUAAUUGGGAACUGGAAUGAAGGGUUGGACAAAGGGGAAGCUGUCUUGAUAAUAACAAUUGAAAUUUACUUUUAAGUGAAAAGGCUUAAAUGUAUUAGAGGGACGAUAAGACCCUAUAAAGCUUUACAUGUUAGUGGGAUUUAAUUGAUUUAAGGAGUAUAAGAGUUAAGGCUCACUGUCAUGUUUUGUUGGGGAGACACGAGUAUAAAUUUUGUAACUGCUUUGAUAUGAUACAACAAUAGAUGAAUUAAAGCGAGAUGAUCCUUUAUAAAGAUUAAAAGAUCAAGUUACUUUAGGGAUAACAGCGUUAUUUCUUUUGAGAGUCCAUAUCGAAAAAGAAGUUUGCGACCUCGAUGUUGAAUUAAAAUGUCUUUAUAGUGCAGCAGCUAUAUAAGAGGGUCUGUUCGACCUUUAAAUUUUUACAUGAUUUGAGUUA